UAGUUUUUGCAAACCAUAGAGAAGAGAAAGAAUCGAAUGUUUACAUUAACCAAAUUUACGUUGCACAAGAACUAAUAUUAAUAUUUUAUUUUUCUAAAUAUUAUUUUAUAACAGACAAGCAGCGUGAGCGAAAUUGAAAAAAAAUUUAUUCAUCAACUGUAUUUAUACUUUCAUUCAAGAAAGAUUAAAUCGUAAGAAUUAAUUGUGUUCUUGGAUGACCUUACUACUCACACAAGUACAACUAAAUAAUAUAAAAUAUAAAAAAAAAAAAUAAAUAAAAUGAGUCUGAAUUAAUUUAUUUCAAUUUUUUUAAUUGUUUAUGAACGAUAACUGUUCAACGAGUGAAUAAACUUUCCAUGAACGUGUGGAUGAGUUUUUAUUAUAAUUUUAUUUAAUUCAGAAAUUUAACUGGAUAAAAUUUCUGAUCUUAAUUCCAACCGAUGCAAAUUGAAUCUAGAUCGAUCAAUUCUUUUUAGAGAAUAUAAAAUCAUUGCACUACAUAAUGUUAGAGCAUCAGAAAUACGAAAUUAAAAGAAAAUUUUCAUCACGAAUUGAUCAGGUUUUAACUUAUAGAGAAUACUGCAUAAGCACGAUGUCUUUUCGAUUUUAUUCAAAAUUUCUGAUUUAACUAUUGUGGAUACAACGCUAAUGAUUUUAUUUAAUUUUAUAAAUAAUUGAAUUUAUUCAAAAUCCUUGAUCCUGAUUUGAGUAAAUAAAUUAUCAUAUGUACAGUUAUAAAAACCUAUUCGAUGGAGGAUGGAAAUUUCUGUAACUAAAAUUCUGACUUAACUUCCGUGACAUCAACAAAAAAGCCUAAAAUAAAUUUCAUGCAGAGUUAAAUUACCUACAACUUCAAUCCUAUAUAUAUCUGUCGUAUUUUGAAUCAUUUAGCUGAAAUUUUUGUUUAGUUUCAUCGACACCAAGUAAAAUAUUUAUCAUUUUUUAAAUUAAAAUUAAAGUUGAACGAUCAAAGUUACAUCAGAAAUAUACUAAGUGAAUUUUACGAAGAACUGAAUCAUCACCAACAAAGACAUUUCUUAUUAUAUUUUCUUUUAACUUAAGAUUUUGAUUCAUUAUCUGUCAGACAUGAAGAAAACGCUAAAAUAAAUUUCAGAGAAAAUUAAAUUCUUAAAAAC